AUUGAACGCUGGCGGCAGGCCUAACACAUGCAAGUCGAACGAGUGGCGGACGGGUGAGUAAUGUCUGGGAAACUGCCCGAUGGAGGGGGAUAACUACUGGAAACGGUAGCUAAUACCGCAUACCAUCGGAUGUGCCCAGAUGGGCUUAGCUAGUAGGUGGGGUAACGUCUCACCUAGGCGACGAUCCCUAGCUGGUCUGAGAGGCUGACACGCCACGCUGGAACUGAGACACGGUCCAGACUCCUACGGGAGGCAGAAGUGGGGAAUAUUGCACAAUGGGCGCAAGCCUGAUGCAGCCAUGCCGCGUGUAUGAAGAAGGCCUUCGGGUUGUAAAGUCCUUUCAGCGGGGAGGCGUUACCCGCAGAAGAAGCACCGGCUAACUCCGUGCCAGCAGCCGCGGUAAUAC
rnacentral:rRNA from 1 species